GCUGAUUUGAAAUAUAAGAUCACGAUUGGCUCUUUCAGGCGAAGGAUAAACUAUCCGGAGGCAAGUUUGUCCAAAUUACAACUUGUCCAGUGGAGGAAGAUAGUCAAUACGUGCAGCCAAAUGCAUUGCAAGUACAGUCAUGCUGGCAAAAAAAAACGACUUGUCAUACAUGAGGUUCUCUGCACAAUGGAUGGAAGCACUACCUUUCUGGAUGACCAAAUUCUGCACUAGAUCCUCCACUGCCUCUCUGGAGGCAGUCUUCAAGAAAUAUGUCAACGAUAUAGCAUGAGUGACCUGUAACAUGAGAAUGAUCUUACAAGACAACCACAGUGAUCCAUGACAGGAAAUUUGAAUGAUAAUUCAACUAUGCAUUCUUGAAGUAUGGCUCCCAUAUGAACUCUUACCUCAACUUAAUGGCUGCCUGUUGAAUCAAUGUAACACUAAAUAAAACUCUCAAAUAUUAUAUUGAGUCCAUAUUUGAGGACACUGGAUUUUGCAGAGAACAAGCAAUAAGAUAUAAGAUAAUCCUUCUGCCAUCUCAUAAGCUGAUGAGUCCAAAUGUUCAUUACAUAGUUCCCUCUCUACUCUUCUCUUAAAUGUUCAGUACAUCCAUCUUUUCUUCAGGGUCCAAAUUUCUACAGACCUCUCUCUACUGCCAAUGUCAAGGCACUUUUUUCCUCCCCUGUAACAUGCAGAACCUGUGAAGUCCCCCUCGCUUUAGGAGUAGUACACCUUAGCUAGCAGAAAACACUCUGGCUCCUCACUGGACUCUGCAACCAGUUACCAUGCUGCUGAUCAACAAACUUCUUCAUAAGCUUCAGGCCUAUAAACCUCUUGGCUCAGAAUCGGUCUGUACUAGACUCGCAACUUUUGUGCAAGACACUAGGUAGGGUUCAGG
rnacentral:lncRNA from 1 species